UACGAGGGGGGCGAGCGUUAUCCGGAUUCACUGGGUUUAAAGGGUGCGUAGGCGGGCAGGUAAGUCAGUGGUGAAAUCUCCGAGCUUAACUCGGAAACUGCCAUUGAUACUAUUUGUCUUGAAUAUUGUGGAGGUAAGCGGAAUAUGUCAUGUAGCGGUGAAAUGCUUAGAUAUGACAUAGAACACCAAUUGCGAAGGCAGCUUACUACACAAUGAUUGACGCUGAGGCACGAAAGCGUGGGGAUCAAACAGG
rnacentral:rRNA from 1 species